CAGCAGCCGCCGCGGUAAUACGGAGGGUGCAAGCGUUAUCCGGAUUUAUUGGGUUUAAAGGGUCCGUAGGCGGAUCUGUAAGUCAGUGGUGAAAUCUCACAGCUUAACUGUGAAACUGCCAUUGAUACUGCAGGUCUUGAGUAAAUUUGAAGUGGCUGGAAUAAGUAGUGUAGCGGUGAAAUGCAUAGAUAUUACUUAGAACACCAAUUGCGAAGGCAGGUCACUAAGAUUUAACUGACGCUGAUGGACGAAAGCGUGGGGAGCGAACAGGAUUAGAUACCCCUGUAGUCCCUGUCUCUUAUAC
rnacentral:rRNA from 1 species